GUUCCUUUACUUCUAUAGAAGCUUAUAGAGGUGUAGUAGAAGUUUAGUUCAAUGCCAAUCUGUACGGAGCACGGUUAUGUAAAGAGAUCUUGGCGCUCGUACACCGUAAACAUAGAAAAACAUAUGGUUGACUCGUGAAAAAUCAAUAUGAAAGACAAGAAAAAUCAUAAUCUGCGCAUGCGUAAUAUGCUAUGAAUAUUUCACAGAGCAGGGGCACUUUACUCAUCUGUAUCUGUCUUCUUAUAGAACGAGAACCGUCUGGUCUUCCGUGUUAAUUUUUCACGACUCGAUUUUCGGACGAUUUCCUUUGACGAGUGUCGAGACCUGUUUACAUAAUUAUGGAUCGUGGCGUCGAGACCUGUUUAUACGAUCAUGGAGCGGAGUGCGGACCAAUCAGAUGAUUGAUAGAAGCUAAUAGAAGCAAUAUGACGUCAUACUAUCCUGUAAAAUAAGAACUAGGAUUGUUACAUGAGUACAUAUGAAUGACAAUUGUUCAACAAGGAAAGAUGGUACUGCUUUUGAAACACAUGCAAGACCAACACCCGCGAAAAUAAAGAAAAGAGAGAAAGAUAACUAAUUUUAAUAAACAACAGGCCACAUCGAUUGACAAUGAUGUUAAAGCAUUAGAGGGUAUUUUCAAUAAUCGGGAAUCUGAUGAAUUUGGGACGUUUGGAAAUUCCAUUGCAAUGCAACUGCAAACAUUGCCAAACGAGGUGACAAUUAAAUUAUAACAAGAUGUACAAACUUCAAUUAUGUGAACGCGCUUAAAUUAUAUACAAUCGUUGUCUCCAUCUGCCUCUGCCUGUAGCAUUACCCCAUCACUUUGAAGAAAACAACAUA